CAUGUUUUGAAUCUCUAUUAUUCUUUUUUUUCUCCUGACUUUAUAUUUAACACACUUUCAACAUGCCAAAAUUGUCAUGAUUAACAAUAAAUAGAAAAUGUUAUCCCCCACACACAUGACCAUGAAAUCACUCAGAUAUUAUUUCUGAUUUAGUUGAAUUAAUAAUUAGCCUUUUCUAAAGCAACUUAUCACUAAGUCACACAGAAAUAUUAUCCAUGAUGCACAAAC
rnacentral:lncRNA from 1 species